GCAUUAGGCCAAAAUAGUUGUUGGUUCGCAUGCAAAACGUCAAAAUCGCAUAAGCUAAAACAUUUUUAUACCAACGGCGCGUUUUUAAUUUUUUCUACACUUUAAGAAUAUAUAGAGAAAAAGCAAAACAAAAAGACAAAAAACCAAAAAGCUAAUACAACUUUUCGCCCAAUAUUUGUUGUUUUCUAAAUCACAAAUACCUAUAGAUAUAUAUAAACAUAUGUAUUUGUAUAUGUAUAUAACUAAAUCAACGCGUGUAUAUAACAUACAAAAUCUCAAAAAUUUUCAAAUAAUAAAAAAAGGUAGAUGUUAAAUAUCUGUAAUCCAAAAUGCAUGUCAAGCCGUCCUCUAUACGAAGAAAAUAUUAUAAAAUAUGUAACUAACUCUAAAAGGAAAACUUCUUUAAUAAUAAUACACAUUACAUUAAAUGCCUCUCGCUAAACGAGUGGAAAUUUGGAAAAUGAUCGCUCUGUCGUUGGCUCACCUUCAGCUCGCGCGUGUCAAAUAAAACAUAGGGGAAAAAUAAAAGAAAAUAUAAAAAUAAUAUAUGAAAAGCAAGCGAUAAACCACACACAAACCGAACGAAGAAAAAUUAAAUAAAAAAAAAAAACUGUAAUAGAAAAGUUGAAAAGUAUUAACGCGAAUUAUAAUAACAUCAUCAGCAACAGCAACAGCAACAACAGCAGCAACAGCAACAGCAACAGCCGCAACAAAGACAACAAUAACUAAUGCAUAGGCGAGAACAGUAAAAGCAAAGUGGACGCCGGAUAUAGAAAUGCUCAUCCCAUAGUUAAUAUGUGCGUAUACAUAUACAUAUACUUACACAUAUGUACUACACACAAUCGUAUGCACAGAUGUGUGGCAUACAGAGCCGUGGAAUAGACAGGCGUUGCCGCCUUUUGCCGUUGCCAACGACAAUCAACAUCAACAUCAACAUAAACAUCUAGAGAAUUCGUCAUACGCACUGUGGGACACGACACAAACAAAUGCAUUACUUGAUUAAGAGAUUUAUGAUUUUGUAUCCCCAUCAUCACCACCACAACCACAACAACAACAACAACAACAACUACUACUACUACUACAAAUACAACUAUAAGAACAAGAAUAAGCACCAACAAGAACAAGAACACCAGAAUAUCAACUGCGGCAAGUGUGACGAUGGCUGCUAUAAAUACGGUACCCAAAAGUAUACACCUGCCUUUGACGAGUCUUAGCGCGCCGCGCGUGUUGAUGUGCAGUGCGUCUGUUGGCACUGAGAGUUCUGUGACUCUGCAAUUGAGAGAUGGCAACGCGCGUGCUAGUGUGAGUGCAAAUGUGGAUGCCUUGGAGCUAGCGAGCAGUAGGCCAGAGGCGACAGCAACAGCAACAGAAACAGCAGCAACAACAAACCCAACGAAAACAAAGACAAGUGCAACAGUAGCAACACCGUCAUCGUCGAGCGUCACAGUACUUGAGGCGUCAUCAGCUUCAGCGUCGGUAUUAGAAAAUGCAUUGACCAUUGGCUAUCCGGAUCCGGACAUGUUAGCAGAUGUUUUGAGCACCAUACAGACAGCCUCUCUCAAAAAUAAGCUUGGUAACAGCAACAACAGCAACAACAACAACAACAACAACAACGACAGCUGCAAAAAAAGUAGCAACAAAAAUACCGCCAACAGGAAUAGUGCACCAACAAUUUUAAAUACAAACUCUGGCGCAUAUUUGAAUAAUCCAAAUAAGAUAACCAUUACGCGACGGAGUUCGAGCAACAAGAUCAACGUACAGACUGUGAGCGCUGCAACAAACACAACCAUCAGCAGUAUAAGCGGCAGUAAGACCAACUACAUUAAGAACUGUCUUAUACGCAGCAGCAGCUGUAGCAACACUGCCACCAAUGUCACGACGCUGGCGCAGAUUAUGAGCAACAGCAGCACAAGCAGCGCAGCCAGUUUACUUAGUCAACAUAACAAUAAUAGCAAUUGUAGCAACAGCAGUAACUUUAGCAACGCCUCCUCAGUGGGCAGCAGCAUAAGCGUUGGCAGUGUCAGUAGCAGCACUUCCACCAACAGCAACAGCAACAGCAAUAGUAAUAGCAACGACAGCAGCAGUGGACACAGCGGACACAGUUCGAGUUUCAAAAGCAACAGUCGAAAUGUUCCUGGCAUAGUCACAGCUGCAGCAUCCACGAACACUACAGCAACUGGCAUUGGCAUUGUAACAGUCGACACUGCGCCUCGAAAGAGCCGUCCCAAACUAUCUUCGCCGACAAGACACGGACCGCAGCAGUGCCAGAUUUGUAGCAAGAUCUUUGGAAAUGCCUCGGCACUGGCUAAGCAUAAACUGACGCACAGCGACGAGAGGAAAUAUAUUUGUUCGCUCUGCUCGAAGGCAUUCAAGCGGCAAGAUCACUUAAACGGACACAUGAUGACGCAUCGCAACAAGAAGCCUUACGAAUGUAAGGCGGAUGGCUGUGGCAAAUCAUAUUGUGAUGCACGCUCUCUGCGGCGCCAUUCGGAAAAUCAUCACGGAGGCGUCACAGCGCAAGCCAACAACACGCUUUCAGCAACAUCAGCAGGCGCAAUUUGCAGUGGUCAGAUGAGUGGCCAAAUUAGUAGCAGCAGCAGCAGUUGCAGCAGCACUGCCAGCAGCAACGGCAAUGCGGUCACCAACUCUUUGAGUCUCUCCCCGGCAACGGCUAGCGGGGAUGCCAGCUCACCGGAUGGGGCCACGUGCAUACGCACUUAUAUCUCUACUGGCAGCACUGUGGUGGAUGCGGCCACAGGAAUAGCGUUGUCCGAUGAGCAAAUCAAGGCUAUGAAUCUGCCAAUUAAAACGGGAGUUACAUUGCUUUCGCCAACAACAUCAGUCUCCUCCAAUGUAUCCUCCACCGCAUCUUCGUCCGGUUGUUCAUCGGGCGGCAGCAACAGCAAUGUCAGUGUCAACAUUAGCGGCAGCGGUAGUGUUAGCGCCAGCGUCAGCGGCAAAACUAGCAGCAACACAACAACAGUCGCGGCCAGUUCACCUACCAUUAUGCUCAGUGAUGGCACCAUGCUUGAGGGCGAGGGACUAACACGGGAGCAGCUCGAUCUAAUUAGCAAGAUCAUGCAGCAGACAAAGCAAACCAGCGCCCAAGUCACAGUCUCGUCUCCUACCAGUGUCAGCUCCUACAAGAUUAAUACAGAGACCACCCCGAUACAGACUCGACCACGGACUUGGAACAUGCAAUUGCUCAACAAUGCCCAGAAUGUGACAGUCACGGUUGAGGAUGGCACUGAUCUAAUUACCACUGCCGGUAGCUCCAGCGCUUGCUCCGGGUCUCCUGAGGACGUCAAGGAGGAUGAUCUAAACCAACAGAUUGUGGCUGCCAUUAAUCCGCACCUGCUAAACAUUGUGAAGAUUGACAAGCCAGUUGAAUGCAAUCUAUGUCAUCGCAAGUUCAAGAACAUACCCGCUCUCAACGGGCACAUGCGGUUGCAUGGCGGCUACUUUAAGAAGGAUCCGGAAACAAAGCGUAGUGAGAAGAAAGAUGUCAGUGGACCACCAUUACAGACAGCCAGCAUUGGGGUGCGUGCUCUCAUUGAGGAGAAAAUCAUCAGCAAGCGGAAGGAUAUUUCUAAGGGCUCCUUCGUAGUACCUGCCCCACCCAGCAGCUCAAGCAACUGCGGUGGAGGUGGUGGUCUUGGUGUUGUUGCUGGCACUGGCGGUGUUUGUGGAGUGGCUAUUACCGGCGCAAGCAGUCAGAGCAACAGUUGUCUACGGCGGUCUGUCAGCGACGUGGAAAGCUUCCUAAAUGCGAAGAGUAGUACAAACAGCAUCAAUAAUGCAAAUUCGAGCACAACGACAGCGGUGCUGCCGGCAGCCACCACAAUUAAGAGCAGCAAUGGACUAAGUAUACAGCAAAUUGAUUUGCCUCAGAGCAUUGAGAUCUUCAGCGGGGGCCAAAGGCAGCCGAAGACUCUCAGCUUGGGCAGCGGUGCCAAUACCAUUACCAUAACCACCAACAAUGUGCCUACCACGACCACAAUGAGCGCUCUGACGGCUCUGAAGGGCGGCAGUAAUCUAAGUGGCGGCGUUGCUAACCACGCGGAUCCCAAGGACUCGACGCUGAUUGAGUUGCUCAAGCGGGGCACUCGUAUUGCAGUGACCUCCAAGAAGACUCAGUUUCAGUCACAAACCAGUACAAAUAUGCUCCUUAGCAAUGUGGCCGGCACGGAGUUGACAACCAUUGGUAGUAGUGUUCAAACCGGUCGUCAGAUUAUUACUAACAAAAAUCGUACAGUGAUCAUACCUUCGGAUGUUCACGUUGUAUCCACAAAGAGUAAGGUGAUUCCGAGCAGCUCCAGUAGCUGUAGUGGCGCCAAUAACUCUACCAACGUCAUCAACAGCAGCAGUAAUGCGUGCUCCACAAGUAGCAUCUCCUUCUCGGACGGCACGCCGCUCUCCCUGUCGAUAGCACCGAACCAAGAGAGCAUUACAUCUCUGGGCGAUUCGAGCAGCAUCACAAGCAGGGGAGGUGGUGUCUAUACGGUGACAUAUACCAGCGAUGCGGAUGCAUCGGAUCUUUUCGAUGAUGGCGAGGUGUACAAUGUUUCGGAUACGGAGAUGUUACUGCAAACUGUGGACACCAUGGAAUUACUGAAUGAAGAUGAGGAUGAUCCACAAACAAACACAAACGAACAUUCCGAUAACUUUGCCCUGCUGAGUGAGACUACCGACGCCGAUCACGCAGGGCAUGCCCACCAGCUGGUGAAAUUGGAGCCAGAGACUGGUCAGAGCACACAAGUGAAGCACACCACUCCGCUGCCAACUUUCCAGCAAUUCCAUUCCAAAGAGCUGAUCAUGCAGAACAGCUCACAAAUCCAAGCUAUUGCCAACAUGCGGGGCAAUAGUGGCACUCUCGGAGUGCUUGCGUCACCCCUGCAUUCACCCCUUGCCUAUCCGACGCCGCCAUCUAGCCAUGAAAAUGUAGCACAAUCCUCUCCAUUCAUCGAGGAUGCCGCAGCCCAGUUUGUGGACGCCACACACAGCUUCUUUGGGGAUAAGACAGACUUCUCCCAUGUGUAUUUCAAAACAGACGAGAGCCAGUCCCUGCAUCAUGCCGAGCUGAGUGACAACGAUAAUGAGAAAAUACUUAAAUUAAAAUCUGUUCUGGAAGAGAGCAGCUUCGAUCCGUCUAUCAAGGUGGAAGAUCUUUUAAAUAACACUGAGGACGAUGCCGAAUGCGAUUUGCACGAGUUUGCCGAGACAAAUCUCUCGUUUCUCGACGAGGAUCAGGAGUUCCUCAACGAUUCGCGUAAUGCCACUUCCCCGUUAUCCGAGUCAUUUUUCACCAGCGGCAUUGGUUCUGCAGAGGAUGUUAAGCAAGUGCUUCGGGAGGUGCUUCCCGAUGAGAAUAUGCAGUUGCAUUUGAGCAGCGAGCAGCAGGGAGAGAAUAUCAUUGAUCUCUACUAUUUGCCAGGCUUGGGGCUGCAAUCGCAAAUGAUGCCCAACUCCGAUGAUCCUUUGCUCUCAUCCUCGCCGCGUGAAUUCGGCCAACAGCGACAGAUAGCUUUUCAAGGUUCAUCGUCCACAACAGUUACUGUGCAAGCUGCAGAGCCAUUGCAAGCAACAACUAUGCUUUACGAGCAAACGCCGUCUGAUCAUCAGCAACAACGCCAGCAGCAAGAGCAACAGCGACAAGAUCAACAGAUGGAACAGAUUUUGCCACAACAGGCUGUCAUUCAAUCGGAUCAGAUGCAGUCGCAGCAGCAGCCGCAGCAACAGCAACAGCAGUCGGAAUUUAUGCUACCCGCUUUCAAUCAGGUGGCGUGCCACACAACCUAUCUAGAUGCUACUCAGCCGACAAUACCAAUGACGUUGCAGCCAUUGAAUAGCUUGUUGCAGCCAUUGAUUUAUAGUAACAUUUCUGGAGAAAAGCAAGAAUUUAAUAUGCCGCUCAAUAGCCGGACAGGGGGACAUGAAACAGUCCUCGAUGCAAGUCUUCUUUUCGGCUGCGUGGAUGGCGAUGGUAAUAAGCCUGUUAAUGCCACAGACACAGUCACAAGCUUACCUGCAGUUGUUCCUAGUUCAGUGAGUGCAGUCUCAGCUGCUGGAAGCAUCUCUAAUCUGCAGCCAUUGUCAAAUCAAACAAACUCGAUACUGAAAAGACGACUACGCUCCAAUGGAGCCCAAGAUAUGCACAAACUGUCGAAAUUUCAUACACUCUCGCCGCAUCGCUCGAAGCUACGCAAACCCUCUCGCACUCAUUAUACUCCGGCCCCCAUACUAAAUCCUGAUCGCAAAGGCACCGGACUCUACUGCAAUGUACGCAAGCAACUCGGUCAGGGAAUAUUUGAUAAUUUCGAUGAUGACUUUGGUGAUCCAGUGGGCUUGGUCGAUUUCUCGGACGAGUCCAAGGUAAAUCUCGGCUCGACGUACCAAGCACAGAUACCUGCUUGGAAACCACCUGAAGAGUUUAUGAAGGAGCCAUCAACGAGCUGCGGAGCAGACUUGAUGUGGGAUCCCAACGUACAACUUGACGAUAAGAUACUUAUGCGCUAUAUCGACCUGAGCAAAUCAUCGGCAGUCCCUAUGGGCAGUCAUUCGGAGGAAAUGGCUCUGCAAACACUGCUCGAUGCCAAAGGCAACUCUGCGGCGGCAGUUCUAACCCUGCUUCAAAUGCAGUCCAGUGCAUUUCAAAUGAAAUGGACUGCCUUCGAGCUGGAGCAAUUUCUCCGUGGUCUUGAGAAGCAUGGCAAAGAUUUUGCCAAAAUCACCAGUGAGCUAUGCACCAAGACUUCGGGUGAGUGUGUACAAAUGUAUUAUUUCUGGAAGAAACUUUGUGUGGACUACAAGGUAUCGCACCUGAAAAUGGAGCCAGUCGUAACUAGCAAUCAUGCUGUGGAACAGAAACCCUACGUCUGUGAGAUUGCCGCCUGCUCUGCGAGCUUUAGCUCGAAAGCGGCUCUGCAUGGCCACGUCCGAAUACACGCUUAUGGUAGAAAUGCCAGCAACAGCAACAGCAACAACAACAACCACAACAACCACAACAACAGUAACAAUCAGCAUGCAACGGCAAUUAAUGCCAACAAUAACAACAAUAACGGCAAUAGCAACAACAAUCAUAGUACAAGCAACAGCAUCAGUAUACACAGCAGUAAUCCAUGCACCACCCAGACCAGCAGUAUUAUUGCAAUAACAACGACAGCGAUAACAAACACCAAUAAUGGCAUGGCCGUCGUAAGCAACAAUAGUAACAACAACAAUUCCUUGUUAGCUGGCAGCUCAUCCCUAAAUUCUACGCUUUUGCUAACGGCAGCACCAAAAACAUUGCCAGCAACGAAAGAUUGCAGCAACAGCAACAACAGCAGCAACGGCAACGGCACCUCGAAUAUUGCCAAGGAUAGCGAAUUCCCCCUGCAAGGUGUGCGGCAAAUAGAGUUGCAAAUAAAUGAUAAUAAUUGUUGUUAUUGUUGUUGUAUUGUAUUUAUUGUUCCAUGAUGUCAAAACCAAAUUCUAUUCAAUAUACAAUAUGCGUGCCCACUCAAACCAACAAUCAAAAUCAAAUAAACGAUUUCAAAAAAUUACAAUUUUAAAGCGAAGAGUCACAAGUCGCAAAUAGAUGUUACUGAAAUCUGCCUCUCGAAAUCUUUUUCGCCGGAAAGCAAAUAAAAUCACUUGCCUUUCGCUGGCAUAAUUUUUGGGUCUUCAAUAAGGUUAAGAGUCGCAGCGCCCAUAUGAAAACUCACCGAGUGCAGGAAGCGGAACACUCAACUAAUUUGAAACAGCAAUCGCCCUCCAAUGGAAAUCUUCCUGCGAUUAUCGCUGUCUCUGCGGCAUCCUCAUCAGUAUUGGUAAUGGCCUCAACAUCAUCAUAGACACGGAGCAACCGGGCCAAAACAUUGAUUGACAAUCGCAUUACCCCUUUUAGGAUUUAAUCUAAACCUUUAAAGUCUAAAUAAAAUCUUUAGUUCAGAAAUUAAUAAUCGAACUUAAAUAAUCCAAUAUGUAUAAUAAGCUCGAGUUCAUUAUGUAUGACAUUUAGCCAUUAGUAGAAAUUUUAUCAAACAUAUUUUGCAUAUGUUUUUAAACACAUUCUCCUAUCUGUCUUACUAUAUACAUAACUAUUUGGAUAUCAGACGUAUCUAAUUAUCGACCCAACUCUAAUCCUUAACUUGAACAUUUAUUGUAGAACACUUUGAAGACAAGUUCAAAAUGGAUUGUUACUAACUUUUGUAGAUAAAUGCAAUAUUUGUGUUAAAUAUAUAAGAAUGUACCUACCAUAUUUUUAAAGUAGGCGUUUUCUCUUGACUCUUGACUCUCGACUCGACGACUGUAGUUUUAACUCGAAUCCCAGUUAAGUACACAAUAAUAUAAAAUAAUUUAAUAGCACGUAUGUACUGUUAAUUACACGUUUUCAACACACACAUCGUGCAGAUACUUUACUAUUAGUAGUGAAAUACAUGUUUAGCAAGUAAGAUCGAUCUGGUCAUAUAAAUUUAUGCACUAAUGUGGACAUUAAGUAAGCUCAAACAUAUGUCUGUUACUAUAUAUGAUCGUAAAAGUACUGUUGAGAUGCGAUAUGCCAAAUAUGAUUGUUGUUUUAGGUUUUAAGUUCGAAAGUCAACAAUUUCAUGCAGUUGAAAUUUAAAUUUUAUUAUACUUACACAUCUUAAACUAUUCUAAUACCAAAUAUUGCUAAGUGUAAAGCAAAUAAAAAUUCUAGUGAAAUGAAGUGAUAUUGAGUGAGAUCAAAAACGAUUUUAGCUAAACAAAAGUCAUAACAAACUAAACUAAACCAAACCAAAAACAAAAAAUUGAUAAUUUUAUCUUUUACCGCAAAGUUGUAAAUAUGAACUGUAAUUGCAUACACACUUCUAGAUAAUUAUAUUAAAAAUAUAUAUAUGCAUGUUUAUAUAUACAUACAUGCAGGCCUAUGUACAUAAAUUUGUAUAUUAUGUAUAUGUUUGUAUGUACCCAUUUAAAAAAAAGUUUAUUUUAAUGUUUCUCAAAAUGCGCAAAAGACAUUACUCUAUUGGUAAAUCUAAACACACAUAAACACUCACACACACUCACACGCACACACUAAUGCAUUUGAAACAUAAUUAUGAAUGUACAUCAUAUAUGACAAACUUAUGUAUCCAUUACACUCACACACGUACAGAGCAUUUGAAUAUACAUACAAGGCACAGAAAAAUUAUUUACAAACCUACAUACAUAACUCUACACAUGUAGUUGUUCAUCCGUACUACAGUUAAUCUGCCUGAAGAAUAACAACAACAAGAAUCACGCGUUUUCCAUUUGGACAGUGAGCUAAUGUAUUACAACAAAUAGAUCAAUUGAUUGUAGGUAAAAAAAAGUUUAUGAGGCGGCCAGUGUUAGAUUAUGACGUAAUAAUAGUAUAAUGUAUUGUAAUUAAAACUAGCAUAUAGACUAAGGCCAAACUCUCCUAGAAAAACUCAUAGCUAGUCCCCACUCUUGCAGAAAAUGCAUUAAGGAGCAAAGAAACUUUUAGCAAUUCUCAAGGUUGUAAUUUGCUUAUUACUCUUAAGUACAUGUACUAUACUAAAUAGCUUUCAUAGACAAUGUACAUAUUUAAUACUAGCUACAGAAACCAGUCCUGAUCUUCAAAUACUCGGCUGAUUACAGGUGUGACAACUGCAAGAUGAUUCUGUUAUGGACUCUGUUGCAACUGCCUACUGACUUUCUGUCAUUUGCUUCAUUGUAUUUUUGGCUUAUUCGUAUUGAACGUAUACUGCGUUUAACCUUAACAUACAUAGAAACGAUACUCAUAAACCUUAGUUGAAUUUUACGCAUAUUUGUUUUGGUACUUAAGAGUGUAUUAAUAUACUAUAUAUUAUAAAUGUGACGGAAUACUUAUUUGACUAAGUGAAAUCAGCUACAAAACCCACCACUAAAAACAAUUUGCCUGCAACACAUAAUUGCCGUGGGCUAAAAAAGCUGCCUGCAAAUUUUCUAAUAGCAGUUAUAAAAAAAUUUAUUUUGUAUGAUAUACAAUGUUAAUAUUUUUCCUCUGAACAUUAAAAGGCAUAUGCAGUACAUAUUUGUAUUUACAUUUACCAUAUAUGUUGAAACUUCUAGAAAAUUUCAGUCCUAAUGAUCAACUUCCGUUGUGUGCAUUUUCUCUACAAAUAUUUAUAAUAUUAGUUACGUUCCAAUCCUUUCUAACAAUGUUGAACUUUGCUUUUAAGUGUCUUCUGUUCGUAUCAUUUAAAUUAAAAUGCCUUCAAGAGUAAGUGUUAAGUAUUACGAUUAAAAUCUUGGAAAAUAAAUCGUUAUUUUAAUUUACGAGAAAUAAUUAACGUCUAUGACACCCUUUUAGCGAUACAAAAGAUUUUUGUUUAACAAAAAGUUACCGAAAGACAAAGAAAAAUGCAAAAAUUGUAUUGUUGUACUUAUGUAUAUAUAAAUCAAGAUUUUUAUUAUUUAAGACAAUUUUUAUCAUUAUUGUUAUUAUUUUUAAUAUUUAAUAUAAUUUUUAUAAAUAUUGUUAUAAUAAUGUCAUCAAAUUUUUAUCAAUGAGUGGAUUAAAUUUCUCUUUUGUUAUUGCCGUGUGUGUAUUUUUAUUUCGAUCUAACUCGAAACGCAAACAAAGUAGAUAUGACAAUCUGUGAAUUGAUUUUGUGGCAUAUACUCACUUACGUAUUUCACAUUUCAAUAAUAUUUGUGUACCCUUUGAGGUAGAAAACAACUUUAUUCAGCGGCGCUGGAACUUUAUUCAAAUACUCUGCGUUGUGAUUGUUCAUUAAGUGUACGAGUAUGAAUAAUACAAAAUAUAAUAUGAUACUCAACAUCACAAAAGCCAAACUACUAAAAAAAAAAUUAACACGAAUAUCCAAUGAUAAUGCUCGUAUUAACCGUAUGAAAUAAGUACGUAAAACAGACGGACAUUAAAGCUAUAUGUUCAUGUGCUCAUGGGCUACUGACUCAAGACUCAACUCAAGUGAAUUAAAACAAUAUACUCGUAAAACUUAAAAUGUUAAGAUUUCAAUAAAUAUACGUACAUAUGACUAUGUACCACAUUCCUUACGUUCUAACAAUCAUUUUGCCGUCAAAUUUUAACCGAAUUUCGUAUAAUCGUUUUUCAUGCAUAGUGUUUAAAUAAGGUGUACAAAAUGGCACACAACUGAAUUACUUCCAGAUAAAAUACAAAAACUGGACAGCAAUUGAUAAUAGUUCUUAGACAUAUCAAUUUUAU